rnacentral:rRNA from 1 species
CAAUAGCGUAUAUUAAAGUUGUUGCAGUUAAAAAGCUCGUAGUUGGAUUUCUGGUCGGAAGCUCCUGUCCUCUGAUGAGCGUACAAGUGCGUCCUACCAUCCUUCUGUUAACCUUUAAGGCUUUCGCGGCUUUCUAGGGGCUCAGAUAUUUUACCUUGAGAAAAUUAGAGUGUUUCAGGCAGGUUAGCGCCGGAAUACAUUAGCAUGGAAUAAUGGAAUAGGACUUUUGCCUCUUCUGUUGGUCAUGAGGCUCGAGUAAUGAUUAAUAGGGAUAGUUGGGGGCAUUAGUACUUAACUGUCAGAGGUGAAAUUCUCGGAUUUGUUAAAGACUAACUUAUGCGAAAGCAUUUGCCAAGGAUGUUUUCAUUAA